GUUGACCUUACCGACGAAAUUUACCGAUAGUUAGAUAUUCUGUCGAAAAACCUUUAUUGCCAACCAAUUUUGGCCCAUGGAUUUGAUUCUGUCAUAAAUUACCAGUGGAAUUUCUGACAGAAUAUGGGUCCGCCGGAAAUUUAAAAUAACCCACAACAAAACGAAGUAACUUGAGCAUUGUUUUAUUCACUCCCAUUUUUCACUCUAUCUUCACUCUCACCUCACUCACUCUACAGUCGCGCCCAAUUCGUCAUAUCGAAGGCCCUGUCGUGCCCAGUUCACCGUCUAGGAGUCCUCCGUCACCGGCUCGUCGUCGCAAGCUUUCUCCAUCACUAGGUCAUCGUGCCUUGUUCCCCGUGUAGGAGUCCUCUGUCACCAGCUCGCCAUCAAAGUUGUGCUGCCAUCAUUGUAAAUGCCACCACCGUCACGUAAGCCUUCGUGAAGUUGCUGUCGUGGCUGGGCAAACACUAGAAGCAAUAAGGACAUGACAAAGAUAUCAUUAGCUUUGGUAUUUGCAUUGGUGGUGGUUGUACCAUUUCAUUAAGUUUUGUGUCAGGAAGAUCCAUGGAAAAGUGUAAUAGACCAAGCAAAAGACGAAGCAAGCAAAGCAGGUCUCUCUGAAGAUACAAUAUUUGGGGCUGAGAAGGCUAUAACAGAUGGUUCUGCCGAAAAGGUUGCUGAGGAUGCCUUGGGUGGAGGAUCUUUGGAUGAUUGGGUUCAAGAAGCCUGUAAUAUUGCCAAUGGUGGAAGUUCACCAUUUGGGGCACUGAAAGAUUUACCUGAUUACAACGAAGAGGAUAAUCUUCCGGAGGCACUAGAAUUGGCACCAAAAAGUUCACCGUCAGUAACACCCGUAUAGGAGUACCAACAAAUGCAGCAUCUGAGGCACCAUCUGCAGCACCCCAAGCACAAACUCCUUUUGCAGCAACAUCCUAAGCAUGAGAUAUAGAUAUGGUUUCACAAAAGCUGUGUAGACUAAAUUAUGUGAAGGUUAAGCCAAUAAAUAGUUGUACAUAAAUACUUUACAUUAUAUAAUUAUUUAAACAUUUUUGACACAUGAUUGUGUUAUAUUUAAAAUUAUAGUAUGUCAAUUAAUUAUUGGCUUAAUUUUCACAAUUUUCGUUAUUAAAGUAUUUACAAGAAUCUCUCUCCCAAAGACAAGCAGCAAGAGCAAAGGAAUAUCACCCCGAACGACACAGGAUAGAAAGGUCACACUCUAGUUGUAUUAACAUAGUGUUGCAUUUAAAAUUUACAUAAUUUUGGAGGGUAAAAUCCAUGAUCAGGAUGCAACACCCAUCAUUUUUUACUUUCACCAAUAUAUCGAUAUACACAAAGUUACCGAGUGUUUGAUUGUUUAAAAGUUGGAUGA